AGUACCUGGAGCUUGAAAUACUUGGUAAAGGAAGCUUUGGCUCAGUUUAUGCCGGCCAUAGGAGGUCUGAUGAUUUACUAGUGGCGAUAAAACACAUCCCCUAAUCGUCUGUUCCGCCUCAAAGAGUGAUGUUAAAUGGGAGGCCACACAGUAUUCCCAAGGAGGUGCUGCUCAUGCAGAAAGCUGCAGGCGAACCAAUGACUGUGGGUUAAUGGACAG